rnacentral:lncRNA from 10 species
AUUUAUUUGUCCGUCUCCCCUAUUAGAUUAUGAAUUCCUUAGGUCAGAGACAUUCUUUCCUUAUGUCAGUACCUGACACAUUGAACCGUGGUUGUGGAGAGAAUAAGUUCCCUCAGCCGUUAUGAAGGGAAACCUCCCCAGCUUGUAAACUGUCUCCUUGACUUAUGGAGGACUGUUCCAGAAUGAGUCAGAGGGGAAGAUCCACCCAGAUAAGUCGGAGGCAUUGGAAACAAGCCGGACCUACCACAUGGGCAGAUGAAUUAUCCUAUUGGGGAAACGGAUUCAGUCAUCUUUGAAAUCAUCACCUCUCCUCCUGUCUUCCAUUUGCCAGUUAGAAAAAACCAAAACAGAUCCACAGUAUUAUGGGAGCAAAUCAGAGUUUGACAGACCUUCAAAGGCCUUCAUUCGCAUUGGAUAUUCAGAUUUCUCACUCUGGAAUUCAAGCAAUAGGCAGCACAUGGUGGUAAUCGGUCAGACUCUGGAGCCAGAUUCUUCAAAUCCUCUACUCAGAUAUGUGACCUCUAUGUAAGUUUUUUAAAAAUUUGUAUUAUCUUUUAACCAGCAAAACUAGGAUACUACCAACCUUAUUGGAUUGUUGUGGGGAUUAAAUGAGUUAAUAAGAAAGUGCUUGGGAAAGUGCCUGGCAUAUAAUGGGCAUUUGAGACAUUAUCAUUACCUGGUUCUGGUCUGCCAAGAAUGUAAACCCCAGAAGGGCAGGAAUUUUUGUCUAUUUUGUUGCUUACUGUAUUCCCAGGGCCUAGAAUAGUCCCUGGCACAUAUUAGAUACUCAAAUUAUUUGCUGAAUGAGUUAAUCCAUUAUAUAUUUAUUUAUAGCUCAGCCAAACUAUAAUACUCCCUGAUAUGGUUUGGCUCUGUGUCCCCACCCAAAUCUCAUCUCAAAUUGUAAUCCCUAUGUGUUGAGGGAGGGACCUGGUGGGAGGUGUUUAAAUCAUAGGGGCAAUUUCCCCCAUGCUGUUCUCAUGAUAGUGAGGGAUUUCUCACGAGAUCUGAUGGAUUUAAAAGUGGCAGUUUCCCCUGCACUCUGUCUCUCUCCUGCUGCCAUGUAAGAUGUACCUUGCUUCCCCUUCACCUUCUGCCAUGACUGUAAGUUUCCAAUUCCAGAGGCCUCC